AUUGAACGCUGGCUGCAGGCCUAACACAUGAAAGUCGGGCUGAGGAAGGGAGCUUGCUCCUGCAUUCAGCGCCUGAGGGGUGCGGAUUUCCUAGGAAGCUGCCUGGGAGUGUGGGAUAACGUCCGGAAACGGGCGCUAAUACCGCAUACGUCCUGAGGGAGAAAGUGGGGGAACUUCGGACCUCACGCUAUCAGAUGAGCCUAUGUCGGAUUAGCUAGUUGGUGGGGUAAAGGCCUACCAAGGCGACGAUCCGUAACUGGUCUGAGAGGAUGAUUAGUCACACUGGAACUGAGACACGGUCCAGACUCCUACGGGAGGCAGCAGUGGGGAAUAUUGGACAAUGGGCGAAAGCCUGAUCCAGCCAUGCCGCGUGUGUGAAGAAGGUCUUCGGAUUGUAAAGCACUUUAAGUUGGGAGGAAGGGCAGUAAGUUAAUACCUUGCUGUUUUGACGUUACCAACAGAAUAAGCACCGGCUAACUUCGUG
rnacentral:rRNA from 1 species